AGUGAACGCUGGCGGUAGGCCUAACACAUGCAAGUCGAACGGCAGCACAGUAAGAGCUUGCUCUUACGGGUGGCGAGUGGCGGACGGGUGAGGAAUACAUCGGAAUCUACUUUUUCGUGGGGGAUAACGUAGGGAAACUUACGCUAAUACCGCAUACGACCUACGGGUGAAAGCAGGGGAUCUUCGGACCUUGCGCGAUUGAAUGAGCCGAUGUGGGAUUAGCUAGUUGGGGGGGUAAAGGCCCACCAAGGCGACGAUCCGUAGCUGGUCUGAGAGGAUGAUCAGCCACACUGGAACUGAGACACGGUCCAGACUCCUAAGGGAGGCAGCAGUGGGGAAUAUUGGACAAUGGGCGCAAGCCUGAUCCAGCCAUACCGCGUGGGUGAAGAAGGCCUUCGGGUUGUGAUGCCCUUUUGUUGGGAAAGAAAAGCAGCAGGUUAAUACCCCGCUGUUCUGACGGUACCCAAAGAAUAAGCACCGGCUAACUUCGUG
rnacentral:rRNA from 1 species